rnacentral:tRNA from 1 species
GCCUGUGAAGUUGGUAUAACGAUCGGCUAGAAACCGAGAGGUCGUGGGUUCGAAUCCCAGACAGAGCA